UAUCUUCAAUUCAUAACAUAUGUCAUUAUCGAACCAUGGAAGAAUUGACAUUUAUAUUUUCGGUGCGUUUGGCGUAUUGACGUAUUCGUGUUGAAGCAAGCACGUUUUCUUUUCGUUUUAACUUGGUGACCGAGCUAAGUUAAUCUACAAAAUGCCAAGAGAAAUCACCGAGAUCAAGGAGUUCCUCCUUACGGCGAGAAGGAAGGACGCCAAAUCCGUUAAAAUAAAGAAGAAUGUGGAUAACACCAAAUUCAAAGUAAGGUGCUCAAGAUUCCUGUACACCUUGGUUAUCACAGAUAAGGAAAAGGCUGAAAAACUUAAGCAGUCCCUUCCCCCAGGUCUCCAAGUGAAAGAAGUUAAAUGAUUAAUUUAGUUAAUGUAUAUAUUAUACCUUUGAAAGGUAAAUAAAACAUUUGUAAAAUCCACAA